rnacentral:rRNA from 1 species
UGCAGUCGAACGGCAGCACGGGGGCAACCCUGGUGGCGAGUGGCGAACGGGUGAGUAAUAUAUCGGAACGUACCCGGCAAUGGGGGAUAACGUAGCGAAAGUUACGCUAAUACCGCAUAUGCCCUGAGGGGGAAAGUGGGGGAUCGCAAGACCUCACGUUGUCGGAGCGGCCGAUAUCAGAUUAGCUAGUUGGUGGGGUAAAGGCCUACCAAGGCGACGAUCUGUAGCUGGUCUGAGAGGACGACCAGCCACACUGGGACUGAGACACGGCCCAGACUCCUACGGGAGGCAGCAGUGGGGAAUUUUGGACAAUGGGGGCAACCCUGAUCCAGCCAUGCCGCGUGAGUGAAGAAGGCCUUCGGGUUGUAAAGCUCUUUCGGACGGAAAGAAAUCGCCAUUCCUAAUACGAGUGGUGGAUGACGGUACCGUCAUAAGAAGCACCGGCUAACUACGUGCCAGCAGCCGCGGUAAUACGUAGGGUGCGAGCGUUAAUCGGAAUUACUGGGCGUAAAGCGUGCGCGGGCGGUUUUGUAAGACAGGCGUGAAAUCCCCGGGCUUAACCUGGGAACUGCGUUUGUGACUGCAAGGCUAGAGUGCGGCAGAGGGGGGUAGAAUUCC